rnacentral:misc_RNA from 1 species
AAAGUCGUAACAAGGUUUCCGUAGGUGAACCUGCGGAAGGAUCAUUACUGAGUUCAUGCCCUAACGGGUAGAUCUCCACCCUUGAAUAUAAACCUUUGUUGCUUUGGCGGGCCGCUUCGGCUACCGACUUCGGUUGGUGAGUGCCCGCCAGAGAACCCAAAAUUCUGAAUUACAGUGUCGUCUGAGUACUAUAUAAUAGUUAAAACUUUCAACAACGGAUCUCUUGGUUCUG